ensembl:lncRNA
AUUGAGAAGUCCAUAAUUUCAGUUCAGAAAACCAUAGAUGUUGCCAUAAAACACGACAGCAGCGCAUGUGUUUUGUUUACAGCUUUUCUGUCUAGCCAUUACACAUCGUUCAGACAGACAAUGCUGCUGAAGUGUGAAGUAAUUGAGAGCUGUGCAGGGUGAGUUAUAUCAGCUAAGCUCGAGGCCAGCAGCAUCUGUCACAAGAUCUGGCAACAAGUCAGUCACAUCCCAUGGCUGUGCGAUGGAUCCCAGCAUGGUGAUCACUGAUCCUUUCCCAAUCAUCAGGCUUCUUGCCUUUCUCUAGAGGAGAGCGUGUGGCUCUCAGGAUGCUACCUGCUGUGGCCAGAUAGGUUUCCAAGGGACACCAGCCAGAUGGGUUGGGUAUCUGCAACCACCUGACAGGCAGCAGCAGAGCAGAGGAGAGGAUGCUCUCUGAGCAUUCUGGCACCAGGAUACUAGUUAUUAAAAGAUUCAGUCUGGCCAGCCCUGGAUUGCACUUGUGUUACUACAUACUUGCACACCCCACAUCUCCAACACUAACAUUACGAGGUGAUCUGUAUUUGUCUGGAAAGAUUGGGAAUGGGUGCUGUAAGGUAUCUUUACAUUGCAGCUGUAAGGAACAUAUUCUGGACAGUUCCAGCACUUCAAAAAUCAUUAGAGUGUAUUAAAUCUGUAGCUGUGAAAUCCCUUUCUAGAUGGAAAACUGAAGUCUACAAGAUUUAUUUAUUUUAAAGACAGUGCUGAUGUAUUUAACAAUAUAUUGAAUACAGAAUGCUUUCUGUAAGCCACAGAUGGCUUCAAACAAUAGCUCAGACAACAGCUCCAAGAUCCGUCCAGUGAACCUCACUGGUUCAACUCAGAAACUUAAAGAUGGUUAUUCAAGUUACAGUAUUGUUAGCUACUUCUAUGUUAGUGUCUCUUUUGCAGAUUUUUUUUUACUACUAGAACACAAUUAGCUCUAAUGUCUUUCACUGAUCAUUAAAUUUAUCUUAUCGCUAGCCUCAAGUUUGUAUGUCCCCAUUACUGACUGGAACCACAAACAUCUGUUGUGUAUUUAAAACAAGAGUGUAGUCUGAAUUAACUGUAUCAUAAAUCAGAACAAGUCUGACUUGUAUUAAUCCUCUGCAGAUGUGUUUUGUUUGUAAUGCUCAUCUCCUUUUAAGAAUCCGUUUGUGAAUUCUGUGGCAGCAGGACCAACUCAGUCAUUUGUGUAAUCCAUGCCUCCAUAAAACACAACAAGGGUAAGAAAUCUGGGUAUUAAAGUGAAGAUUUCAGUGCAUACAUCUAAAAAUAUUUUUCUCCUAAAUAAGUACAUAACUCAGCAAAAUAUCAGG